rnacentral:lncRNA from 1 species
UUUACAAAAAUCUUCUCCUCUGAAACUACUGGGCCAAAUUAAUCCAAACUUGGCCACAAUCAUCUUUGGGGUAUCUAGUUUAAAAAAUGUGUGGCGGUGACCUGGUCAACCAACCAAGAUGGCCGCCACGGCUAAAAAUAGAACAUAGGGGUAAAAUGCAGUUUUUGGCUUAUAACUCAAAAACCAAAGCAUUUAGAGCAAAUCUGACAGGA